AUUCUUUCGCAGAGGCAAUAUUGUAGUCUAUGAGGCUCAUCCGAGGCGCGAUCAUUGCUGGUUAAAAACUUUACCCAAUACCUCGCCGGGAUGACUUAAAUGAAUACAGUCAGCCUUGCCAAUUUUUGCCAGCCUCUCCGGAGG